CUACCAUGGCGUUUACGGGUAACGGAGGAUUAGGGUUCGAUUCCGGAGAGGGAGCCUGAGAAACGGCUACCACAUCUAAGGAAGGCAGCAGGCGCGUAAAUUACCCAAUCCUGACUCAGGGAGGUAGUGACAAGAAAUAACGGACCGAGGUCUUUUGACUCCGGGAUUGCAAUGAGCCGAAUUUACACCCCUUAGCGAGUAUCAAUUGGAGGGCAAGUCUGGUGCCAGCAGCCGCGGUAAUUCCAGCUCCAAUAGCGUAUAUUAAAGUUGUUGCAGUUAAAAAGCUCGUAGUUGGAUUUCUGGGAGGGUGCCAAUGUCCGCCUUUGCGCGUGUGCAGCGGCGCCCUUCCAUCCUUCUGUUAACGUCUCUUGGCAUUCAUUUGCUGGUGGCGGGCUCAGAUAUUUUACCUUGAGAAGAUUAGAGUGUUUCAGGCAGGCUAGGCCGGAAUACAUUAGCAUGGAAUAAUGGAAUAGGACUAUAGUCUCUUUGUUGGUUUGAGGGACUGCAGUAAUGAUUAAUAGGGAUAGUUGGGGGCAUUAGUAUUUAAUUGUCAGAGGUGGAAUUCUCAGAUUUGUUAAAGACUAACUUAUGCGAAAGCAUUUGCCAAGGAUGUUUUCAUUAAUCAA
rnacentral:rRNA from 1 species